AAGAAUAAACCACAUGUCAUAAUAUUACAUCGUAGAUCCAGAAUUUAAUAUAAUACAUACCUGCAUAGCUCAAGCUAGCAUACAAACAAAAUUUAGUAGAAAAGCAAAUAAAAUCUCCAUGAAGUCCAUCAACACCACACACAAAUGUCGAGUAUAGACAUUGUAACCCUACAUCGUAUCACUCACUCGUCGUAUAAAAUCUGCAAUAUGAAAUGUUGCAGCCACGAAGAGUCAAUACUUUGAAUGUAUUGGCAAGUCACACAGGAAUUAUAUAACAGACCUACAUCUACUUGAAAGGUAUACCAAGAGGAUAGUGUAGUGGUUGUUUUGCAAAAAAGCUAAUUUUUUCUUGAUAGCUACAUAAUAGUCAAAUUUUAAUUUUGUCUUGCCAGAGAUAAUACAUAAGGUUGAAUUGGGCAAUCCGAUACCAACCUAUCCCCAUUAUUAAAUUUCCCACACAAUUUUAUUAAGGUAUCAUCUAUCAAGAUCAUAUAACAACUGUAAUGGCAUAGUGGCUCAAAUUUGCCCAUAACCGGGGGCACGGCUAAUCAUGAUUAGUUUUAAUACUCUACAAAGUUUAGUACGCUUUACCCACUAGACCCAUUCCGAAGAUUGAGACGAAGUCUUUCAGAAGACGUUCCCUUAACCACCUAACGGCCACAUCCCACCUACAUAAGCAACAUCCGUCGACACUGUCUGGGCAAGGGUUCCAACAACUGAUCAACUAAGCCAGAGCCCAUAUAGCUAGUGACAGCAUAGGGAAGCUACUAGUCACCAAGUUUGUCUGAUCUUUUUGAACCUGGGCGGCAUUCCACUUAGGGUGCACUCUCAUGAGCGCAUGGCCUUAGAAAAGGUGCAAGACCCCGUGAUGCCUUCCCUCAACACCAAACAAUACAACUUCCGCCCAGAGGUGAAUUGAAAUCCUUAAUUGCUACUCAAGUUGUUAUAUAUAUAUAUAAUCCUCAUAUAAACUUAAUUAAUACACAAACUACCCCUGUCUACAAAGCAUAGCAAACUACAACUACCACGAUCUGUAAUGACGGGAAGAUAGCUCAACAGCAUAGCUGAAAAUAAUAUAGUAUUCCUAUACAUGCAUACAUUCAUAGUGUGAUAUAACUACAUGCAUAAAAACAAUAGUUAAAGGAUGAUCAACAUGUAACUUGUCUGUAAGUUUGAUGAAGAUCGUCACACUCACAAUCCUGAUAAUUCUACUCGUCAUGCUCCGAGCAAUCUAUCGCAAAUGAGAGAAUCCAAAUAAACAACCAUGCCAUAUAGAAAAAUUAAAAGAACAAGAAAACAAAUAUGUCAAGGUUAUUUAGCAACAACAAAAAAAAUAGGUUUAAAUAUAUAUAACAUAUGGUCUCUGGUACCAAAAUGUGACAAGGUGAAGGAAUGAACUCAAAAGAUACUGGAUGAUGAACGGUUGUUAUAUAGGAUUAUAUUGGAUAUAUUAUGGAACAAGGUCAAAAGUAUAUGGAGUAGAACAUCCAAAUGGUGUAAUGAUUGCAUAUGUCAUAGGAAUUCACUAGCAAAAAUGAUAGGUUGAAUAGGAGUAUUAUAACGCAAGUCAUUACGAAAUGAAGUGUGGAUUGAAUUUGAAUUCAAAAGAGAUGGAAAAUAUUUGAAUAUUGAGUGUACAAGAUAUGAUCGGCAAGUAUUUGGUACAUGUGUUCAUAGGCAAAAGGAAUUAAUUGGAAAGGUGUCACGGUUCACCCGAUAUGAUCAAAUGAAGGUAUGGAUUCAAAUUUGAAUUGGUGAAAUUUGAAAUGUUCAAAAGUUGAAACUUAUGAGUUAAGUGAAAAGAGGGCUCUGGUACGAAACCAAUGCAAUUGGAUUUACCGAAACGGAGCUAUCGUUUAAAAGUUAUGAUGAAUUGAAUUCCAGGGGCCUAUAAGUGCAGAACCAAAUCAGCUAAACAGAAAUUAAAUCAGAAUUCUCUGCCACGUGGCGGCCUAUGAGUGGUUGAUACCGGUUCAUUGCAGAAUUAGACAGAGGCCGUUAGAUCUUAUGAAUCACGGACGGCCAGGAUCAAGCCAUGUGGCUAGGUUUUUUUAUGUGUGUUUGGGAGUUCCUCAUAGGAACAGAGGAAAUGGCGAUGGCCCUGAUCGGCGAUGGCGUUUCUCCUAGUGGCCGCAGGAGAUCAGUGAAGAUGCUGGAAGAAGAGGAGGUUCAUGGGGAGUCCUUUGGUGUCCUCAGGGAGUCCCGGUAUGCUCUGGCGAGAUUCGUUUUGCUGGGGAGCUCGAUUUGGUGCGGUCCUGGGAAAAACCAAAGGGGGAAUAGGUGCAUGCGGUCUCUGUUAAUACAUAGAAAGUCUCGGCAAGGAACGAGGCUUACCGAGGCGGGAGAAUUUCACGUCGGCGCUGCUUAGGAUGGCGGAGCUCACCGGGGUCGCUGCACUCAAUUUCGAGCUCUGUCCCGCGAGGCGAGGCAGCGAAUCGGAAGAGGAGAGCUUGGGGGUCCCGAGGUGGUGCAGACGCAUGAGAACCACGUGGGGAUCGGAGAGAUCGGGCGCGGCUGUGAGAUACGCACGGAGCGGUGGCGUACGCGAGCAGGAGAUCGGAUAGAGGUAGGAGAUGGUGAGUGGUGC
rnacentral:lncRNA from 1 species